ACACUUCAAAACAGAUAAGUACGAAGUGAACCAAGAGAUAUUACUUGUAACUUGGAAAAACAGUAGCAAGAAUUGCCAACUUCGGCGCAAGGGACCCGUUCAUCUAAGUGUUCUGGGCAGUAUUCUAAAUUUUUAAGUCGAAUCAAAAGUUGUAACCCAGCUGGCAGGAGAAACAGGCCGGAUUUUUAAUGAAUCUAUGUACCUACGUCUUCCGUGUUAUUGCGCUCGGCUAAAGCAGUCUUGGAAACUGCAAGUUCCGACACUAAAAAUCAACCAACAGGUAUUAUGAAAAUAAGGAAAAGUUGCAUAAUUUUACGAAUCCCUACCGCGGCUUGAAAGCAAUUCAAAAUUCUCGCUUGUUGCCUUAGCGGUCUCUUGCAUUAACGCGAUUGCCGCAGUGAGAUUUUCAUAUUCUUUAGAAAACGUCUACGAAUAUCUUUUCAAGGUUCUCAAGCCGCAAAAGAACUUGGUGGACAUCUGGAUUACCUGCCCCGGUAUCAGCGCUUGAGGUCGUAUUGCUAUUUGUCUCAUCCUUCUUUAUCGCGUUUGUACAGUCGACUCGCUUGUGUUGUUCAUGUUGCCCAAAGCAAAGUGAAUAAUUAUGACAAUUAACAAGGAAAAGUAAAAACAUUAACAUCACAUUAAGAAAUUAAAAUUGGGAGGUCGUAGUUUGCUACUACUCAUUUCUGUGGCCUAUCGUAUAGGCAUUACCUGUAAAUUCGUAAAACUGUCUUCAACCGUUUUAAGUUUUUCAAACAGAUAAUUCAACGGAAUUAGCUGACUUCGCAACCAGCGUUUCUCGUCCUCGUAAUCCCGUAAGAAAGAUCUUUGGUCAAAUUGUUGAGAAUCUGUUAUCAAUCACAAGUGCACGAAUUUAAGGAAACAUUUUUGUUGACAGUUAUUGUUGUGACAUUUUCACACUUGAAAGCUUCUAUUUCGAAAUGUGUAGCUCGAUUGGUAUCUGUUUCGUUUUUUAAACUAACGCUUUUAUCCCCGUCUACUGACGUCAUUGCGUUGUCUUUCAACUCAGAUCCGGACGUUGAGUUUUCACGAGACAAGGCAACUUCCAUAGUUGCAUUGAGUUUAGCUCAAGAAAACUUUCAACGUUCUUUAUGAAAUUUUUGCGGUCUUCCUGCACCUGAGAAGUCGUCUUUAGUCGUUUCCAUGCAGUGGAUAUUAGAGUUGCCGAUGUAGUGCAGGAAAGUAAACUAAAAAUGAAUAGUGCGACGGAUGUCCAUCUACGUAAUUCACUACCCAUGGUAAAACUGGUCGCCUAGGCAAUGCAAGGCAAUAUUGUUAUCCCGGAAAAGGACGAUAAUAUG